rnacentral:lncRNA from 1 species
GUUUUUGGGGAAAGACGGCUUCAAGCCGUCAAUCCCCUAUGGGGUUGACCAGAGUGACAUUCCCUCACAUCAUUCAUUUUGUUUUUAUAGUGUGGAAAACCCCCAACAAAUCUUACUGAGAUUGAUGAGAAGGAAACACACAAAUGAAUAGAUUGACUUUAAACACUUUUCUACACAUUUCCCUUCUGUUUCUAGCGAAAUUAUCGUAUUUGAGCUCUCUUUUACACUAUUUACGUUUCUUUUACAAUCCGGAAAAAUCAGUAUGACGAGAUAUUCUAAAUAUAUCCAACCUACAUUAUAUUUUAUAAUGACGUCAUUGUUGGAAUGCCACACUAUGCAGAAGCAGGGAUAUCCUUCACUGGUUAUUUAAAUCAUUCUCAGAGUUCGUGCACUAAUUAUAAAUUGUUAUUUGUUAAAUUAAACAUAAUUAUGUUUGCUGUAGAUGAUUCAAACAUCAACAUGCAAUACUUUAAUUUGUAGGUCAACAACUUUCAAAGUAAACAAAGUUCGUGGAGAUACAUGAGAUUGGGGAGAGAAACGAUUUUUUUUCAUUUUUUCUGUAAAAUUCUGUUUUGUGAAUCUUCCUCCAAAUCAGGAGCACCUCAAUUGAUGAGUAAUUAUCCACUAAAAUAAAACUUGAAAAUGUGACAUUUAGUAUAUGAUUAGUAGUCUUCCAUUAAAACUAAAUUGUGUGUACCAACAAAUAAAUCAUUGUAAUGGUAAAAAAAAAAAAUUAAAAAAAAAGUUGCAUUUUAUAGUUUAAACCUAUUAUUCAUGAAAUUUACAAAUAUUUCAAAAUGUAGGAUCUGGAAACAAGCUUCACACAGUUUACAUCAAUCAUAUUAUUUUUAUUAGUACCUGUAUCCCUGUGAUGAGAG